rnacentral:rRNA from 1 species
UACGGGGGGGGGCAAGCGUUGUUCGGAAUUACUGGGCGUAAAGGGCUCGUAGGCGGCCAACUAAGUCCGACGUGAAAUCCCAAGGCUUAACCUUGGAACUGCGUCGGAUACUGGAUGGCUUGAAUUCGGGAGAGGGAUGCAGAAUUCCAGGUGUAGCGGUGAAAUGCGUAGAUAUCUGGAGGAAUACCGGUGGCGAAGGCGGCAUCCUGGACCGACAUUGACGCUGAGGAGCGAAAGCUAGGGGAGCAAACGGGG